AUAAAGGGGUAUUAACCCGGAAGUGCCACAGCCAAGAUGGCUGCCGACCCGGAAGUGACUGAUUUACAGCCGAGUGAGCAGGCAGAAUAUGACACACAUUUAAAUGCUGGAGAAGAGGACACAAGACAUUAUGACAUAAUGAGAAAAAGGAGAAGAACUAAGAGCCUGGAACGAUUUACUGCAUUUACCUAUGUUUGAAAACCAAGAUAUUGAAAACCAAGAUGUUUGGAAAACAAACUGCAUUUGAUUUCAUCCUAAAAACUUUUAGAACAAGUGGUUAUUUAUUAAUUUUCUUUA